AGCAGUGCCUGACCUACAGAGGCUGUGUGAUACAUAGGAACCCCUAGCAUCAGCUCCAGACCAUUGAAAAAUGGUCUGGCCAGGAGAGCUGUUGCCAAAGAAAUGAACAAGUGUGAAUGCUCAUGGGUCAAGGUGGCUGUAGCAACUGUAGUAAUUUAAUUAAUAUUUCCUUAGAGUAAAGAAGAAUUCUUGGAGGUGCUUGAAAAUAGUUAUUCUUCCAGGACUAGCCCAGUCAGACAGUAGCAGGCUCCAGAGGAAAAACUAGCAUAAAGCCUUCCAAAAUUUAUUUCUUCCCCUUACAACUUUUUAUUGUGGUCUUAAGAACCCCAAACUGUGAAUGUAGAGAAUGGGUUGAGUUUGUCCCUAAGCCACAAGAAGUUGCUAAAUGCUUGUCUUUAGAGUUCUCUUUGUUUAUAACCUGAACUAAAAAAAAAAAAAAAAAUCCCCAGUAAAUCCAUCUGCGUGUUUCCCUGUUCCCACCUACCUACAGGAGUGAGAAAGUGUGGGAAUCAUAAAAGAAGGCAGAACCAAAAGACAGAGGGAUCUUGGGCCAUGAGUCACAGCAAGGAAAGCCUCCCACCAAACAUCUGCACUGGACUCCUACAGGAACAAGAAAUGAACUAUCGUGUUCAGCCCCUGAGACUUGGGCUUAACAUGAUUUUCACAUUGUCUACCCUACCUAAUAGAGCAGAGAUGUAAAUAUUAUUCUUAUUUUAGAGGUGUGAUGCCUCAGCUGCAAUGGGUGAGAACUACUCCUCAUUUAUUCUCUUCCAAGGCAAUAAAAGAGAAUGGACCAAAGACAGUCUGUCAUCACAUCUAGUCAAAAGAGCUAAUGUCGCAGUACAACUCUUCAAAAGAAAAAGAAAAAACAAGAAAAAAGUAAUAAACAGAUGUGUUCUGCUUGA
rnacentral:lncRNA from 1 species